GUGCCCUUUUAAGGUUGACACAGUGCUAACACAGAAGGUGAAGAGGCUAACACAGAAGGGUAAAGUCUCUGUAAAACUCAGAAAAUAGAUUGUGUAAAACUCCUCUUUGGAUUAUUUCUGGAGCCACUGCU